AGUAAAUAGAUACCCGGGUAGUCCACGCCGUAAACGAUGAAUACUAGGUGUAGGGGUUGUCAUGACCUCUGUGCCGCCGCUAAACGCAUUAAGUAUUCCGCCUGGGGAGUACGGUCGCAAGAUUAAAACUCAAAGGAAUUGACGGGGGCCCGCACAAGCAGCGGAGCAUGUGGUUUAAAUUCGAAGCAACGCGAAGAACCUUACCUAGACUUGACAUCUCCUGAAUUACUCUGUAAUGGAGGAAGCCCUUCGGGGCAGGAAGACAGGUGGUGCAUGGUUGUCGUCAGCUCGUGUCGUGAGAUGUUGGGUUAAGUCCCGCAACGAGCGCAACCCUUAUUGUUAGUUGCUACCAUUAAGUUGAGCACUCUAGCGAGACUGCCCGGGUUAACCGGGAGGAAGGUGGGGAUGACGUCAAAUCAUCAUGCCCCUUAUGUCUAGGGCUACACACGUGCUACAAUGGCUGGUACAGAGAGAUGCUAAACCGUGAGGUGGAGCCAAACUUUAAAACCAAGUCUCAGUUCGGAUUGUAGGCUGAAACUCGCCUAC
rnacentral:rRNA from 1 species